AUUGAACGCUGGCGGCAGGCCUAACACAUGCAAGUCGAGCGGAGCAGCGGACGGGUGAGUAAUGUCUGGGAAACUGCCUGCUGGAGGGGGAUAACUACUGGAAACGGUAGCUAAUACCUCAUACCAUCAGAUGUGCCCAGAUGGGAUUAGCUAGUUGGUGGGGUAAAGGCCUACCAAGGCGACGAUCCGUAACUGGUCUGAGAGGAUGAUCAGUAACACUGGAAAGAAGACACGGUCCAGACUCCUACGGGAGGCAGCGGGGGGGAAUAUUGGACAAGGGGCGAAAGCCUGAUUCAGCCAUGCCGCGUGAGUGAAGAAGGUCUUCGGAUUGUAAAGCACUUUAAGUUGGGAGGCGUUACCAACAGAAUAAGCACCGGCUAACUUCGUGCCAGCAGCCGCGGUAAUUC
rnacentral:rRNA from 1 species